AUUGAACGCUGGCGGCACGCCUAACACAUGCAAGUCGAGCGGCAGCGAGACUAGUAGCAAUACUAGUUGUCGGCGAGCGGCGGACGGGUGAGUAACACGUAGGAAUCUGCCCUUAAGCGGGGGAUAACCAAGGGAAACUUUGGCUAAUACCGCAUAAUCUCGAGAGAGCAAAGCUGCCCGCAAGGGUGGCACUUGAGGAGGAGCCUGCGUCCGAUUAGCUAGUUGGUGGGGUAAUGGCCUACCAAGGCGAUGAUCGGUAACUGGUCUGAGAGGACGACCAGUCACACGGGGACUGAGACACGGCCCAGAAUCCUACGGGAGGCAGCAGUGGGGAAUAUUGGACAAUGGGGGCAACCCUGAUCCAGCGAUGCCGCGUGAGUGAAGAAGGCCUUCGGGUCGUAAAGCUCUUUAGGUUGGGAAGAAGGGUAUUGGCUGAAUAAUCCAGUACUUUGACGGUACCGACAGAAUAAGCACCGGCAAACUCUGUGCCAGCCGCCGCGGUAAGAC
rnacentral:rRNA from 1 species